rnacentral:rRNA from 1 species
CCUACGGGAGACAGCAGUGAGGAAUAUUGGUCAAUGGACGGAAGUCUGAACCAGCCAUGCCGCGUGAAGGAAGACGGCGCUAUGAGUUGUAAACUGCUUUUGUACAAGGGUAAACCUGAAUACGUGUAUUCAGCUGAAAGUACUUUACGAAUAAGGAUCGGCUAACUCCGUGCCAGCAGCCGCGGUAAUACGGAGGAUCCAAGCGUUAUCCGGAUUUAUUGGGUUUAAAGGGUGCGUAGGCGGAUUGAUAAGUUAGAGGUGAAAUGUGCGGGCUUAACUCGGGAACUGCCUCUGAUACUGUUGUUCUAGAGAGUAGAUGCGGGAGGCGGAAUGUAUGGUGUAGCGGUGAAAUGCUUAGAGAUCAUACAGAACACCGAUUGCGAAGGCAGCUUACCAAUCUCUAUCUGACGUUGAGGCACGAAAGCGUGGGGAGCAAACAGGAUUAGAUACCCGAGUAGUC